CCCGCUGAACUUAAGCAUAUCAAUAAGCGGAGGAAAAGAANNCAACAGGGAUUACCCUAGUAACGGCGAGUGAAGCGGUAACAGCUCAAAUUUGAANUCUGGCCCUCACGGGUCCGAGUUGUAAUUUGUAGAGGAUGUUUCGGGCAAGGUUAUGGUUUAAGUUUCUUGGAACAGAACGUCACAGAGGGUGAGAGUCCCGUCUAGAACCGAUAGCCGUGUCCAUGUGAAACUCCUUCGACGAGUCGAGUUGUUUGGGAAUGCAGCUCAAAAUGGGUGGUAAAUUUCAUCUAAAGCUAAAUAUUGGCCAGAGACCGAUAGCGCACAAGUAGAGUGAUCGAAAGAUGAAAAGCACUUUGAAAAGAGAGUUAAACAGUAUGUGAAAUUGUUGAAAGGGAAGCGCUUGCAACCAGACUUGUGUAUGGCGGUUCCCCCAGUCUUUUGACUGGGCUAUUCCGUUAUAUCCAGGCCAGCAUCGGUUCGGGUGGUUGGUUAAAGGUCUUGGGAAUGUAUCUACCUCCGGGUCGACAUAUAGCCCAGGGCGUAAUGCGACCUACCUGGACCGAGGAACGCGCUUUUGCUCGGAUGCUGGCGUAAUGGUUGUAAGCGGCC
rnacentral:rRNA from 1 species